GACAGAGGGGGCAAGCGUUGCUCGGAAUCACUGGGCGUAAAGGGCGCGUAGGCGGGUUCGCAAGUCGGUCGUGAAAGCCCCGGGCUCAACCCGGGAGAGUCGGCCGAGACUGCGGGUCUUGAGGGGCGCAGAGGAGACUGGAAUUCCCGGUGUAGCGGUGAAAUGUGUAGAGAUCGGGAGGAACACCGGUGGCGAAGGCGGGUCUCUGGGCGCACCCUGACGCUGAGGCGCGAAGGCGUGGGGAGCAAACGGG
rnacentral:rRNA from 1 species